AACGAACACUGCAUUUUGUGGAAGUGGGGAAAACAAAUAAACAAAGCUUUCCGAUUCCGUUGCGGUUAGGGAAAUGUCAGGGAAAGAAUCAGAAUCAGAAUCGGAAUCAAUGAAAUUAGGUUUAGAAGAGGUUUCGCGUGAGUUCAAAACUCUCGUUAGUUCCGAAGAUCUUCGUUCACUUAACCAUUUACAGCACACAAUAUUGGGAAGGUUACAGGACAGUAAUGCCGUAUUAUCGCAUUUUAAUGAAUUCUCUCAACAUUGUUACAAUGAGAUUUCCGGUGACAUGGCCAGAAACACUCGUGUCUUCAAGUCUAUCAAAUCUGACCUUGAUUACAUUUUUCUCAAACUUAGGAUUGACAUUGGGGUAACAACUAGGGCGUCUGGUGCUACAGAAGCAAAUAAAAACAGAACUCGAGCCAAAUAUUGAAAGGUGAAAUUGUCUUUGGUGAUGAUGACAAUGAAGGAUUUACAUUGGUGUAACAACAAGGGCAUGUGAUGGUUUAGAGAAGCAUGCAAAUAAACACUAGACACCAGAAGCAAAAGCCAAAAAGGCUUAUGCAGAAAAAAAGGCUCAAUGUGAAUUACUAAAACGAAGAGAUGGAAGUAGUUACAAAAACAUGAAGACAAAACUUUCGACAACUUAUCCAGAUGCAUUUCCUGAAGAUUCAAUGAGCAAAGUGAUUGAUAGGAGACCGGAUCUUGAAAUGCCCAAGUAACUAAUGU